rnacentral:sRNA from 1 species
UAAUACCAGGAAGUUCUGGGCCAAUGUCGGUAAUCCUUUCAUGCACGAAACCACAUCGUGUAAUAUUAGUUUCGUUUCAAGCGUUACUCAAAUCGGCGUUCUCUAAGCUUCGUUUACGGUCUUUACCAAUUGAGCUAACGACACUCGGUAAUAAAGAACAAUUCACCAACUAAGACUCUGAUUUGUUAUAAUCUGCAUAGUUAUUUAUUAAAGGAAUCAGAAUUUAAAUU